rnacentral:rRNA from 1 species
UACGUAGGGGGCGAGCGUUAUCCGGAAUCAUUGGGCGUAAAGCGCGUGUAGGCGGUUCCGUAAGUCCGCUCUGAAAGCCCAGGGCUCAACCCUGGGAGGCGGGUGGAUACUACGGAACUGGAGUACGGAAGAGGAGAGCGGAAUUCCUGGUGUAGCGGUGAAAUGCGCAGAUAUCAGGAAGAACACCCGUGGCUAAGGCGGCUCUCUAGUACGGUACUGACGCUGAGACGCGAAAGCGUGGGGAGCGAACAGG